UUGACUGUACAUGUGUAUCUUUACAACAUUCCCAAGCUCUGGUAUAAGCAACAUGUUUAUGUGUGUAGUGUAUUUCCAAACGACAUGCACGUCAAGUUGUGCAUGUUUACUAUAUUUUGUUUUGUGCGAUGAGCUAAAAGCUGCCUCGUCGUAUAAAAAAGUCAGCCACUUAUAUUUUAAAUUAAAUUGUAAGCUUCUGGAAAUAAUGUAAAUCCAUACAUGCGUUUACAUUCAUCUGAUGUCCUGAUGGAACUGCAGUGGUUCUACCUUUUCCUAUUUCUUUCUGCAUUGAUAAAUGGAACGGAUUCAGAAACUUACACGGAAUGUUUCAAUCGAUGCAUGGCAAAUUGUCUGGCUUCCCACCCACGUCCUAUGAUUGUGAAAACGCAGGCUUGUGGAAUACUUUGCGGAGCAGGAUGUGCAUUCCUUCGAUAAAAUGAGGUUGGGAAAUGGAGCGUUUGGCCACCCGAAACUACAUACUUCUGGUCAUGCCACGGUUCAAACGAUUCAAACCUGGCGAAAAUAAUAAUAAUAAAAAAAUGCCAUAAAAUUGUUUUGACAAAUCUACAUAUAUUUAUAUAUAUGUACCAUGUACGCACAGAUCUACAAAGAAUCUCCCAUUUGUUUCGAGAAUUUUGACGUGUAUGCACGUCAAAUUCAGGAAUUUCUCCUAAUUUGGAAUAAUUUUAGUCCACAUGUUUUCAUAUGAAACAUUGGGAAAUUUUCUAAACCAUGCCGUCUUAUUUACGAAAUGCUUGAAACUAAUUAAAUAUACGCAAAUAAAUUAUUGAUAAUUUACUAAUUAUACACAAUUUAUAUGCACAUUGACUUUCGCAAAGACUGAACGUGAAUGUAAAAAAAUAAUAAACUGAGAAA